CCUACGGGUGGCAGCAGUGAGGAAUAUUGGUCAAUGGCCGAGAGGCUGAACCAGCCAAGUCGCGUGAGGGAAGAAUGUCCUAUGGAUUGUAAACCUCUUUUGUCAGGGAGCAAAGUCACCCACGUGUGGGUGUUGGAGAGUACCUGAAGAAAAAGCAUCGGCUAACUCCGUGCCAGCAGCCGCGGUAAUACGGAGGAUCCAAGCGUUAUCCGGAUUUAUUGGGUUUAAAGGGUGCGUAGGCGGAUUGAUAAGUUAGAGGUGAAAUGUCCGAGCUUAACUCGGGAACUGCCUCUAAUACUGUUGAUCUAGAGAGUAGAUGCGGUAGGCGGAAUGUAUGGUGUAGCGGUGAAAUGCUUAGAGAUCAUACAGAACACCGAUUGCGAAGGCAGCUUACCAAUCUAUAUCUGACGUUGAGGCACGAAAGCGUGGGGAGCAAACAGGAUUAGAUACCCUUGUAGUC
rnacentral:rRNA from 1 species